CUCAUCCCAGGUGUGGGUUUUAAACUGUAGAAAUUUCUUUAUCACAGAGUUAAACUUUUGACUGUAUCUUUACGUCUUUUCCUCUUUGAGUCAGUCCCAUACCUCAGUACAAAUUUCACAUGAAAAUGAGAGUUUCCAUUUAAACUUGGUUUUGAAGCUCCUUUACAAUAGGAAAUAUGUUUUGUAGUUAUAACUUCUGACAUCUUGUAUGGUUUUGCCUCCUUCUACUGUUCAAAAUUUAGCAAACAUUGGAUCGUGGUUAAACUAGUUCUAUUUGACUGAAAGAAGGGGAAGUCAUGUGUGGAACCAUAGAAACAUGUUCAGAGUGCAUGCGACAUUUAUGUUCUUAAACACAUUUAGAUUCAGAAUCCAUUAAGGAUUUGAGAAGCAGAAUGUGAGGUUCUUAGAAAAUUAGGGCCAUGUUUUUUAGGGAAUUGAGUCUGAAUUUUAAAGAAUGUGCUUUUAUUUUUAUUUAUUUUUAAAGUUUUAUUCAUUUAUUAUAUAUAAGUACACUAUACUGUCCACAGACACACCAGAAGAGGGCAUCAGAUCCCAUCACAGAUGGUUGUGAGCCACCAUGUGGUUGCCCAGUUUGAACUCAGGACCUCUGGGAGAGCAGUGGGUGCCCUUAACCACUGAGCCAUCUCUCCGGCCCCUGGGUAUUUAUGUUUUGAGAUAGGAUAUCUCUACUUAGCUCUGGCUGUCCUGGAAGAACCUUUGUAACCAGGGUGCCCUUGCACUAAAGAGAUUCUCUUGCUGCCUGGGGCGGUGCUGUGAUUAAACAUGUGCACCACCAAGCCUGGCUCAGAAAGUUUUUUUUUUUUUUAAAUUUUGGUACUUUUGAAAGUACCUUAUUUUCCUGCCUUACUUCCCUACUCCAUCCCCUUCUAUGUACCCCAGUGGCAACAGGCUCUCUUUCCAUGUUCGUGGUAUAUGUUAAUUAUUUUAUUUUGUGUAUGUGUGUGUACAUAUGCAUUCAUGUGUAUAUUCCUAACAUAGACGGACAACUUGAUCAACCUGUACACUGUCCCAAGUAAGGCUGAGCCCUGGUAUUGGGUAAGCAGGUUGGGAGCUCUUACCUGGGAAGACUGUUUCUCUUGAUCAGAUUACUUGAUUUUGGUUGUUGUUGGUGGUGGUGGUGGUGGAGGUGGUGGUGGUGGUGGUGGUGGUGGUGGUGGUGGUGGUGGUGGUAGUUGAUUGUCUGAUAGGUUGGUUUGUGUUUUGUGGUUGGUGUUGGUAUUGCUUAUGAUUUUCAAGACAUGGUUUCUGUGUGCAGUCCUGGCUGUCCUGGAAUUCACUCUGUAACCCAGGCUGGUCUCAAAUCAAGAGAUCAGCUUGCCCCUGGCAGUGGUGUGCCCGCCUUUAAUCCCUGCACUCCAGAGGCAGACACAGCUGAGUUUUGGGUUCUAGGCCAGCCAGGUCUAGUAAGUGAGUUCUAGGAUAGCUAGGGAGACAUAAAGUAAGCCUGUAUGGAGGUUGGGGGAGACCAAUAGAGACCAGAUUCGACAUUUAUUUCCAGAAGAGACCUUUAACUUGAAAGGCUGAUUUUAUGACAAAUUCCGCCUUUCUGAAAAGGAUCAACUUCUCAUUUCGAUCAUGAAGGUCAGCAUCGAUAGUGUCCCAGGAGACAGCAUCAACAGGGUAAAGCAAAUGCCUUGAGGCAAGAUCCUGCAUCCGGGAGCAGGGACCAGCUUCUCUUCAGAAAGGAGCUGUGCACCUGAAAAAUGGAGCCUGAAAACAGAUUUUUCAGGGACAUUAAUGACCUCACAUGGAGAAUUUGAAUUCUCAUGGCAAUGUCUUCCACUCAGGCAGAGGUCAAAGAAGCUUUGAGGAAGCAAGGAGGUUGAGAGCAGAGUUGCACCAGGCCGUUCAGAAAGCACAUCUUGAAGAGAUCUCCUGGCUCUAGAGGAAGUAAGGCAUGGAACCAGAGAUAACCUGGGAACUUGGGAACUUGCUGGUGUUUCAGUCCUCAGAGAGCUGAAGGAAAUAUCUGGGUACCCAGAUGUGGUGGUGGACCCACUGGACUUCCCAAUGCAUGCACCCUGAUUGCAAUUGAUAGCAUAUCAACAUGGAAUCUCCGUAAUUUUUAAUAAAUAUAUUGGCUCAUUUA